rnacentral:rRNA from 1 species
GACGAACGCUGGCGGCGUGCCUAACACAUGCAAGUCGAACGAGGUCCAGGGAAGCUUGCUUCCUGAAGACCUAGUGGCGAACGGGUGAGUAACACGUGAGAAACCUGCCUCGGAGUGGGGAAUAACUCGGGGAAACUCGAGCUAAUACCGCAUACCUUCACAUGAUCGCAUGGUCGAGUGAAGAAAGAAUUUCGCUCUGAGAGGGUCUCGCGGCCUAUCAGCUUGUUGGUGGGGUAACGGCCUACCAAGGCAACGACGGGUAGCUGGUUUGUAGAGAACGAUCAGCCACACUGGGACGUGAGACACGGCCCACGA